CGAGGGGAAACGACGUUUUAGCUUGCUAAGACGGGCGUCGACCGGCGCACGGGUGAGUAACGCGUAUCCAACCUGCCCUCAAGUAAGGGAUAACCCGCAGAAAUGUGGACUAAUACCUUAUGUAUUCCGUUGAAGACAUCUGAAAUGGAAUAAAGAUUUAUCGCUUGGGGAUGGGGAUGCGUCUGAUUAGGCAGUUGGCGGGGUAACGGCCCACCAAGCCUACGAUCAGUAGGGGUUCUGAGAGGAAGGUCCCCCACAUAGGAACUGAGACACGGUCCUAACUCCUACGGGAGGCAGCAGUGAGGAAUAUUGGUCAAUGGACGAGAGUCUGAACCAGCCAAGUAGCGUGCAGGAUGACGGCCCUAUGGGUUGUAAACUGCUUUUGUAUGGGGAUAAAAGACUUUACGUGUAAUGUUUUGCAGGUACCAUACGAAUAAGGACCGGCUAAUUCCGUGCCAG
rnacentral:rRNA from 1 species